UCUAGCAGAUAGAAAACCAAGAAGGAAACAAUGCACAAAGUAGCAGGACCAGCGAGCGUGGCUGUGAGGACAGUGCUUGAUCUUUCUAGGCUUCUCUACUCUAAAUCUUCCAAAUAAAACAAAGGCGACGUAAGGCAACAUCGAGCUAGCAAGAAAGAAGCUAUCCUUAGCGCGGUGGUGGACAAUGUUACACAGUAACUAUCCUAAAUUGAAGAUAUGUUGAGCUUUCAGUCAUGAACGGUGUUCACCAGAAAAGCAACUAACACAGGAGGCGGAGCUCCGAACACACUCAGGUUUGUUAGCGUGCUAUUGCUGGUAGCUACAAGAAGGUGGAGCUAAGGAUGAAGACCAGUGUUGGCUUUCACAGCCUAAAGAGCCUUGCGCUGCCUCUUCAUGAAGGACAAGGAGUAGUCCCCAGGCGGCGUGCUUUUCUGCCUCUUCAUCUGGACCUGAGACUGAGCGGUUAGCUGCAGUUUGAUGGCGCUGGAGUUCACCUUGGCGGCGCACAACAGUCCCUUCAUGCCUUUCAUCUUCUCACUCUGGAAGAUGACCACUGGGGCAGCUGGGGAGGGCGAUGCCGCCUGCUGCUGAGGGGAGGGCGCCGCGUUGGGGCCAGGGGACUUAGGCUUGCCCUCAGCCCCCUCCGCGCCCCGCUGGCCUUGGGAGGAACGGCGGCGGGCCACACCCUCGCCUACUUUCUUCGGCUGAGGAGGCGCUGCCGCCGCCCCGGUUGUCUGGGAGGCUGGGGAGGUCGGGGCAGCAGGGAGGGGAGAGUUCUGUUCCUCCGGUUUGGGCUCUCUGCGGGAACCUCGUCUGCGGCCCUCCCAGGGGUCCUCGCUGGACGCGUCGUCGUCUUCCUGACAUUCUGGCUCUUUGGUGAUGAUGGACACUUUCUGACGCACCUUGGGACACAACAACGUCGUCUUUAGGUUUCAAAAUGACACUAAAGGACACUUCAUUAAACACACCUGUGCAGCGACUUCGACUGCAAGAGCAGCAAGCAUGAAUGCAAACAUGUCACGUUUAUUCACCCGCUCCUCCUCACCUGCGCAUCAAAGCGGCUAAGGGACUGGACCAGGUAGGUGGCCCAGCCCACAUGCAGCACUGGCGUGGGACUGCCCUCCUCCCACUUGCAGAUGCCGUCGUAGAAGGACAGCAGGUGGGCAAAGCAUUCUGGGUCCUGCAGGGCCGAGAAGGCGGCCGCCUGCUUUGGCUGCGCCAGGACACACAGAGCAGACUUUUGUAUGAGGACUUCACUACCCACAAUGCAACGGCAUCUUCUCUGCAGGCCAAGAACACUUACUUUAUCACCGACUUCUCCCGCAUCGCCGCUCUCAGACGGAUUUUCAGCAGCGACGGACGUUUCCUUCAGCAGAGUUGGAAUGACGUCGUUUGCAACGUCGAAGAAUUCCUUGUAGAUCUCCUCGUCCUCGCGGAAGUAGUUGUAGCUGCAACAAGAGACUUAUUUAGGAAUUCAAUUUGCUUUUGUUUGCAUCAAGACUGUAAGGGGGAGAUGGGACAUAUUAACUUCCUACUUGGACAUCACAAAAAUCUGAAAAAGUAUUCAAAAUAUUCCUGAGCCUGGAAGGAAAGUACAGAACAAUGAGGGCGCAGCAGGAGGAAAAGGAAGCUGCUAGAUUUCAGCUCAGUUGGUGUGGAUGGCAUGUGGAUUGACUGCCCUCUUGCGGUCAUAUGAGCUGUGUAAGGGGGAAGAGGCACAACGCAGAUUGAACAUAAAUUACGUUGUGACGAUCCUGACUUUUGCGACGGUGGACAGGGACGUGCACGGAUCACAGCUUCAAGUACAUUAGCAAGCUGGGGGAAACCCUGCUCAGUUUUCCUCUAUGACACUUCCAUGUCGCGGACUGGAUGAAAGUGUUACUUGGUUGCUGCAGCUUCUUCUGCCUGGUUCCGCUUUGCAACACAAUCAGUACUGUAGUUUAAGGGGAUGGUGUAUAUGUACAGUAGAGAGUCACAACAAUCUAAAUAAUUGACAUAGCAGUUUACAGUCGGUUAAAAGCUCUAAAUGUUUGUUUUCAAUUAAUCGUCCAGCCCUAAACUGUGACUAUCUUUUGCUAAUCUUUUAUAAACUGUGUUUUAACUUUCUUUGUAAUGUGUUAUACCAGGGGUUGGCAACCUUCAGCAUACAAAGAGCCAUUGGAGCUAAUUUCCCCCCAAAUAAAACCCACCUAGAACCACAAACUCUGUUAGAUUCCUAAAAUGACGAUAACACCACUUUUAGUUUCCUUACACGUGUGCAAUAGGAUUUAUAAAAUCGUACUCUUAUCUGAUUUAUUUCUGGGUAUAACAAAGCAAAUCAUCAAAUUAUUUUGAACAUUAGAAACAAAACACACUGUUCUUUCCCUUAUUAAUGAAUAAAAAAAUAAAAAUCAACUCAUCCCAAUAUUCUGAAGGCAUACGACUACGGCAUAUUCAUUUGACAAAAAAUGUAAAACAACUACCUAGUCAUAAAUAAAAACAGCAAAUUAAUAAAAAUGUAAAUAAAUAAAAUGUUUCUCUUUGAUCCGUCCAUUGCUAGGAGUUGACCGCUAAAAACAAUUCAAUUGCAUGGCAGCAAGAGGUGUCGCAUAAGGGCUGUGACAUACAUUUCUAUCGACAAUAUAUUCAAAUGUGUUUUAUUUUCCUAUGACAAGAUCCCAGAACCCUCCAAAAUAACAACUGUUAAAUUCAAAUGAACUAGGUAAAUAAAAUGAAAUGAAAUAGAUCAAGUAAACAUUAUUUGUUGACAUUCGGUUUCAAAGCCAAAGGGAGCCACGGCAGAGGCAUGAAAGAGCCGCGGGUUGCAGACCCCUGUCUUAUACAUACGCACUAAAACGUUUUCUGACUUCGGUAGAAUACAAUGAUGGCCACUGGCCAAUGCAUGCAACAAUAAGAUAGAAUAUAAUAGAACGUGUGUUCGUUUAUAAUUUUCCCCGUCAGUACCCCUCUUUGUACAGCAGCUAACUCCCGUGUAAAAAGCAUGCACAUUUUGGGGUCGCUUAGGGGUCAGACAGAAUCAGCAAUCAACCACUGAAUGGUUUGGUAAUGUAAGAGCCACACCACAUGAUUUAUGAUACUUGAAGGUAUGACGUGCAUUAUGGAGGAAGGGCUAUACCUCCACCCAAUCAGAAUAGCGCUCUCACUCUUUUUGAGUCGAUCUAUAAAAGUCCAUGCAGAUUACUGGUCCUAUUUUGAGUUUGAGUUUGAGUUUAUUUGGAACAUGCAAGCAUACAACAUGAUAAAUCACAAUUUCCAGUUUCUCUUUUCAACAUGUUCGAAAAGGAGGAGGAAGAAGCAGAGCUUAUUUAAUCCUACCCCUUUUCUUUACAUAACAGUUGCUAAAACUUUUGUUCACUUCCUGUUCUCAAUGUAUUCACAAUGUAUACUCCAUAAGUAAUAAGUAAUCACCAUACAAAUAAAUAAAUAAAUAAAUAAUUGCUUAAGUAAGUUGUAUUCCAUACGAUGAGAUAAGUCAGAUUA